rnacentral:rRNA from 1 species
CCCUUAGAUGUUCUGGGCCGCACGCGCGCUACACUGAUGCAUUCAAUGAGCCUAUCCUUGACCGACAGGUCCGGGUAAUCUUUGAAUCUGCAUCGUGACGGGGAUAGAUUAUUGCAAUUAUUAAUCUUCAACGAGGAAUGCCUAGUAGGCGCAAGUCAUCAGCUUGCGUCGAUUACGUCCCUGCCCUUUGUACACACCGCCCGUCGCUCCUACCGAUUGGGUGUGCUGGUGAAAUGUUCGGAUCGGCCGUUUGUCGCGGUUUCCGCGUCAUGUGGCUGAGAAGUUCAUUAAACCCUCCCACCUAGAGGAAGGAGAAGUCGUAACA